rnacentral:rRNA from 1 species
AUUGAACGCUGGCGGCAUGCCUUACACAUGCAAGUCGAACGGCAGCACGGGUGCUUGCACCUGGUGGCGAGUGGCGAACGGGUGAGUAAUACAUCGGAACGUACCUUAUCGUGGGGGAUAACGCAGCGAAAGCUGUGCUAAUACCGCAUACGCCCUGAGGGGGAAAGCGGGGGAUCGAAAGACCUCGCGCGAUUAGAGCGGCCGAUGCCUGAUUAGCUUGUUGGUGGGGUAAAAGCCCACCAAGGCGACGAUCAGUAGCUGGUCUGAGAGGACGAUCAGCCACACUGGGACUGAGACACGGCCCAGACUCCUACGGGAGGCAGCAGUGGGGGAAUUUUUGGGACAAUGGGGGAAACCCUGAUCCAGCAAUGCCGCGUGAGUGAUGAAGGCCUUAGGGUUGUAAAGCUCUUUUACCAGGGAUGAUAAUGACAGUACCUGGAGAAUAAGCUCCGGCUAACUCCGUGCCAGCAGCCGCGGUAAAGUGACA